rnacentral:rRNA from 1 species
UACGUAGGGAGCAAGCGUUGUCCGGAAUCAUUGGGCGUAAAGCGCACGUAGGCGGCAUUGCAAGUCGGAUGUGAAAUCCCUCAGCUUAACUGGGGAACUGCGUCUGAUACUGGCGAGCUUGAGUGCAGGAGAGGAACGCGGAAUUCCAGGUGUAGCGGUGAAAUGCGUAGAUAUCUGGAGGAACACCGGUGGCGAAGGCGGCGUUCUGGACUGCAACUGACACUGAGAAACGAAAGCCAGGGUAGCAAACGGG